AUGGUUAACUAUUCACUUGACCCAGAAAAUACCACAAAGCCGUGCAAAUCAAGAGGUUCAAAUAUUUGUGUUCACAUUAAGAACAUCUGUGAAAUUGCCCGGGCCAUCAAGGGGAUGCAUAUAUGGAAAGCUACCAAGCUGGCCUAAAAAAGGUGCUGAAUUUUUGCUGCACAUGCUUAAAAAUGCAGAGAAUAGCAUCGAACUUGAGGGUUUAGAUGUAGAUUCUCUGGUCAUUGAGCACAUUCAGGUGAACAAAGAACCCAAGACGUGCCACUGGAUUUAUGGAGCUCACAGUCAGAUGAACCAUACAUGAGCUCUUCCUGCCACAUCCAGAUGACCUUUACUGAUUCCACAGAAAAAAAGAAAACACCCUAGAAGAAACUCAAGAAACAAAAAUUUACAGCAUGGGAA
rnacentral:lncRNA from 1 species